AAACCUUGUAAAAUUUUCAGAUUAUGUUUCUACAUUUAAACAUCUACUGAGGUAGGUAGAAGGCAAGUCUAUUCAGUCAAACCUGGAAUUGCUGGCACAUGUGAAGAGUAUGCACCACAGGCAUCAAAGCCUAAAAUGCCCUGAACUAUUUUCAUUUAGAUUAAUGAAAUAUGGUUUUAGUCUUCCUCCUCUCUAUUCUGGCUUAGACAGAAUUAUCAAGCCAUUUCAAGUAGAUUUGAUUCUAGAUCUUUUUUUUCCUUGAUUCUGGAUGUUGACACAGCACAUCCUCAACUUAUUGUCUCUGAGGAUAGAAAAGGUGUGUGAUAUGGAAGAACAAAACUCAACUUUUGUUAUACCUAAGGAGAUUUUAUUUCUGCCCUGGGGUCCUGGGUAGUUCUGGCAGACAUUCCUGGAAGGUAGAAGUGGGAAACAAGCCUAAAUGAAAAUUGUGUGUGUGUCAAGGCUGUCUUCUUAGGAACUGGCAGGAUCAGCCUUCAGUUCUGGGUGGAUUUUGGGCAAUUGGGUGAUACAUAAAGAGUGGUUAUGUUGCAUCAAGUCCUAAGGCAACCUGGCUUCUGCCAGUAGUAAAACCCAGUAAGAUUGGCAUUUUUUUGGAGUAUGCAUUGGGUGAUUUUUAAAAAUCAUAUACAUGAUAGGUUUGUUCUGUAUAUUUUAAUGAUUAUUUUACAAGAGCUGUUUGGCCUUAUUUCUA
rnacentral:lncRNA from 1 species